AUCGGUCGACCCUGCCGCAUGUGUUGCAGUCACGGUGCUUUGCAAGUCGUUGGAAGAUAGCCAUCCCUGAUCGCGGCUCUUGUGAUUGCACACGGAGCAGCCUCCGUUGCUACGUAUGUCUACAGGCAAGUGGUGUGACGAAUCGACGCGAAAACGUAAAAACCACCAGCUCCUCUGAUUCGUUACGCUUGCAAUCGUUUGAAGAGCAACAUCAACUGCGGCGUGUGCUGAUUUGAAACGAGUGUUGCCAGUCGAGUUUUGAACCUUUCACCUGGUUCUCGCAAUAUCUCUUAGUUGGCAGCUGCGUUGGGAUCGGUAGCGAGGCCUUGGACCUCGUCACCCAGACGCUAGCUGGCUUUUUUUCUUUGCGCUGCCUCGGUCAUUCUUGCAGGGUUCGUCGACGUCUCUUUUCUGAAAAGUGAUGUAAGCUGCGCAGCGCUCGCCGAGUCGUACUGGAACGCACCUUAUACCGAACAAGUGUUCGACAGGAGUUCACCAUAACGUUCGCUAUCUCAGCUAGAAUGGCACGGAUCUUCCCCGCUAUCUCAGCAGCAUCCGACGUCAGAGCAAUGCAAGUGUUUCACACUGCAAUUGAGCAGCGUUGCUGGAACAAUCAAGCUCCGAUGCAAUCGGGUAACUACAGAGCUGAGGCCGACAGAACGUACAAAUGGCCGCAGAGAGUGUUGGAGACACUCUUUUGCGGGCACACCUGCAUAUGCGGAUUUGGACAAGCGCUUGGAUUCCUUCGAUCGUUCGUCAGCAAGCGCUGUGUCUGGGCACGUGCUCUGGAAUAGGCCACCCCAGGAUAUGGCAUGCAAAAUGGCGACGGCAAAGAAGAACGAAUAUCCCCACCAUGUCAUUACGUGAAUCGAGACGCUAACAAACCCACAGACAUGCGCCGUGAUAACAAUUUACGACCAAGACUUACGGUACAAGCGAAAUCACCGUAGCAACGCUCGUGAUCCAUUCGAAUACAGGCGGCUGAGGCAAUCAGCCAAGUGAAACGCGAACAGCUGCCGCAGCGCUAGCGUGCGCUUGAUGCUGAUACAAGGCCGCUGCAUCGAACCAGAUUUCCUCGGAUGCAUCACCAAAGUUGGCAGACAGCAAAUGAGCCUCAGCUCUCGUCGGGAAGCUUACGUUCCCCACCAGUGCGGACCAAACAAGCGCAGCCGGGUUUUCCUCGAAAGAAGAACGCCUUUGCCCUGAGAUACACCGAGCGCCGACCUCACUUCAAACGUCAGAUUGUGAUGCGAGGGCGUUGCGCUGCCUCUCAAGGCACCGGCUCGAGCACGUUUAACCUUGUGCCACGAGCAACAUUUCGGAAAGUCGCGAAUACGUUUGCAGAUUCGUGUCUCUGGCAUUGAAACUACAGUUCUUGACAUCCCUGAUGAAGAACGUACGAAACAUACAAGUCGGAAUCCGGUGAGUAUAUCUCAUAUACAACUAGGGUAACGACGUCGUCGUUGGUGCACGCUACAACGUACACGUCAUCUGUGGGUAUGCGUGCACGCCGAGUCGUCCGAGGCCGCAGCGCCGAAGUCGAUGCGUAACAGCUUGCGUGCACUGUCGUGCCUGGUGCGAACGCACGCAUCCCGUUCGUGACACAUGGUACAGCAGCGCGCUUCUCGGUGCCGCGUUGCAAACGACUGAGGCACAGCGGCCGAGCCUCGGUGCCAACGACAAGCAUCGUUGACAAGGAGCCGAGCGCUGUACCAAAGUCCAUGAACUCGAAUCAGCUGUUGCUCCCGGAUAGCCACAGAAUGGCGGCGUUCGCUUCCGCAGCGCGUUCCAGAGCAUGUAUGAGCCGAUCUGCGUAUUGCCCGAGCUCAGUGGGAAAAUGAAACACGUUCGUCAUGAACCCAGCUGCGCGUACCUGGCUGGUCUCAGUAGCACACUGGUGCACGCGUGAACAAGUUCACGUUACAUAUGCGAACGGCUAGCUGCGAGAAGGCUCCUCUGGAUAGCAGUGUCGGACAAGCCGGUACCUUGGACGCAUAGAGGCAGAAAAAAGCAUGCCGCAGGCAUACCAGCAUGCACCACAAGCGCCUCGGUUCGACGCCCUCAGCGGUACGGCAGCGCCGUCCUGUCUCCGUGCAGCAUCUGCUUCAGCGGUAUACGCGCUACGGCGGGUGCUCACGGUAGGCACUCGGCACACGACAGAACGUAUGAAACGACCAGAAUAUCCGAGAUGAAGUAUGGGUAAUGGAACUUGGAUGUAGUUGCUUCAUCAUGGACGCUUUCCCGAAAGCCAUUAUCCAUUCCGAAUUCUGGGAUCCAUGGUCAAUGUCAACGUUUUGUCAUCUGAAAGAAUAAUCGCGCUCGGUGAGCGCACCUGGGAGAUCAGGCAGUCAACUGACGCUAUGCGCAUGUCGCCGGUGAAGGGAAACGCGAUCUUGAUCUCUAGCUUGUAGCCCUAAGGUAAAAGA